rnacentral:lncRNA from 1 species
GAAUAAAGAAAUUAUUACGAGAUGAUGAUAAUAAUAAUAAUAAGGGAUAAUUGCCUAUAUACCUCCUUAUACAUUUGAAAAUAUCCGAUUUACCUCUACUUUUUUUACUUUCUAAAUUAUCCCUCGUAUGUUCCACCAUUAUUGUAAAAUACCCAGAUUAAACGUGAGUUAAAUAUCUACCACAGUUAAAAAAAAUUAAAAUGUCAAUUUUGUCCUUAACUUAAGGAUAAAUAAAAAAUAGGCCUUUUUGCACAAAAAAUUCACUUAUUUUGGGCUUUUGCAAAACCGGGUCACCUUUUUCGUUUUUGCAGAUUCGGUCCGCUUUUUCAGCAAACUGACCAAAAUACCCUUAUUACUUUUUCUCUUUCCUCUUUCUCUCUCCUCUUCGUUUCUGUCGUUCUUUUUUUUUUUUUCUCGCCGAAAA